rnacentral:rRNA from 1 species
GACGAACGCUGGCGGCGUGCCUAAUACAUGCAAGUCGAGCGCUGAAGGUUGGUACUUGUACCAACUGGGUGAGCAGCGCACGGGUGAGUAACGCGUGGGGAAUCUGCCUUUGAGCGGGGGACAACAUUUGGAAACGAAUGCUAAUACCGCAUAAAAACUUUAAACACAAGUUUUAAGUUUGAAAGAUGCAAUUGCAUCACUCAAAGAUGAUCCCGCGUUGUAUUAGCUAGUUGGUGAGGUAAAGGCUCACCAAGGCGAGGAUACAUAGCCGACCUGAGAGGGUGGGCGGCCACAUUGGGACUGAGACACGGCCCAAACUCCUACGGGAGGCAGCAGUAGGGAUACGUCGGCAAUCGGCGAGAGUCUGACCGCGCAACGCGGCGGGAGUGAAGAAGGUCUUCGGGUCGUAAAACUCUGUUGGUAGAGAAGAACGUUGGUGAGAGUGGAAAGCUCAUCAAGUGACGGUAACUACCCAGAAAGGGACGGCUAACUACGUG